rnacentral:rRNA from 1 species
GAUGAACGCUGGCGGCGUGCCUAAUACAUGCAAGUAGAACGCUGAAGGAGGAGCUUGCUCUUCUGGAUGAGUUGCGAACGGGUGAGUAACGCGUAGGUAACCUGCCUGGUAGCGGGGGAUAACUAUUGGAAACGAUAGCUAAUACCGCAUGACAACAGUUAUUGCAUGAUAACUGUUUAAAAGGGGCAACUGCUCCACUACCAGAUGGACCUGCGUUGUAUUAGCUAGUUGGUGAGGUAACGGCUCACCAAGGCGACGAUACAUAGCCGACCUGAGAGGGUGAUCGGCCACACUGGGACUGGGACACGGCCCAGACUCCUACGGGAGGCAGCAGUAGGGAAUCUUCGGCAAUGGACGGAAGUCUGACCGAGCAACGCCGCGUGAGUGAAGAAGGUUUUCGGAUCGUAAAGCUCUGUUGUAAGAGAAGAACGAGUGUGAGAGUGGAAAGUUCACACUGUGACGUUAUCUUACCAGAAAGGGACGGCUAACUACGUG